rnacentral:rRNA from 1 species
UACGUAGGCAGCGAGCGUUGUUCGGAAUUACUGGGCGUAAAGAGUGUGUAGGCGGUGCUCUAAGUUCGGUGUGAAAUCUCCUGGCUUAACUGGGAGGGUGCGCCGGAAACUGGAGUGCUCGAGCGUGGGAGAGGAAAGCGGAAUUCCUGGUGUAGCGGUGAAAUGCGUAGAUAUCAGGAGGAACACCUGUGGCGAAGGCGGCCAUCUGGACGGAUACUGACGCUGAGACGCGAAAGCGUGGGUAGCAAACAGG